GACGAACGCUGGCGGCGUGCCUAAUACAUGCAAGUCGAACGAGAGCGCCCGGUGCUUGCACUGGUCACUCUAGUGGCGCACGGGUGAGUAACACGUGGGUAACCUGCCCAUCAGAGGGGGAUAACAUCCGGAAACGGAUGCUAACACCGCAUAGGCCUUCGAGCCGCAUGGCUUGAAGAGGAAAAGAGGCGCAAGCUUCUGCUGAUGGAUGUACCCGCGGUGCAUUAGCUGGUUGGUGGGGUAACGGCUCACCAAGGCCGCGAUGCAUAGCCGACCGGUGGGGGUGAUCGGCGACAUUGGAAGUGAGACGCGGCCAAUACGCCUGCGGGAGGGAGCAGUAGGGAAUCUGCCGCAAUGGACGCAAGUCUGACGGAGCAACGCCACGUGAGUGGAGGAGGUGUUCGGAGCGUAAAACUCUGUUGUUAGAGGAGAACAAGUGCUAGAGUAACUGUUAGCGCCUUGACGGUAACUAACCAGAAAGCCACGGCUAACUACGUG
rnacentral:rRNA from 1 species